GGUGCUGUGGCUUAGUGGGUUAAAGCCCUGGCCUGAAGUGUCAGCAUUCCAUAUGGGCACCAGUUCUAGUCCUGGCUGCUCCU
rnacentral:tRNA from 1 species